rnacentral:lncRNA from 1 species
AUUACAGGAGGAAAUCUCUUCACUGCUGGCACUGACAAUGGAAGACUGAGGGUGCCCGGGAUCCUUCACCCCCACAUCCAGUGAGUCCACGGAACCCAGGGUAACUGGGAUGGUAUCUGGUAUCAUAUCCAGGCCAUGAUGAUGCAAGAGGUGGGCUCCCAAGAUGUUGGGCAUCUCUGCCCCUUUGGCUCUGCAAGGCCUCCAUGCUUGUGAUGGGACAACCUAUCAUGAAGGUCUCUGAAAUUCCCUGGAGACAUUCUUCCCCACUGUCUUAGCUAUUAACAUUCCACUCCUGUUUACUUAUGCAAAUUUCUGCAGCUGGCUUGAAUUUCUCUCCACCAAAUUUUUUUUUUUUUUCUUUUUUACCACAUGGUCAGGCUGCAAAUUUUCCAAUCUUUUAUGCUCUACUUUCCUUUUCAAUAUUAGUUCUAGUUUCAGACAAUCUGUUUUUUCAUACAUACAAGCAUACACCUUCAGAAAUAGCCAGGUCACAUCUUGAAUGCUUUGCUGAUUAGAAAUUUCUUCCACACGAUACCUUAAAUCAUCUCACUGAAGUUCAAAAUUCCACAGAUCUCUAGAGCAGGGGCAGAUCUCUAGAGCCAGUCUCUUUGCUAAAGCAUAGCAAUUGUGACCUUUACUUCAGUUCCCAGUAAGUUUGUCAUCACCAUCUGAGACCACCUCAGCCCAGACAUCAUUGUUAAUAUUACUGUCACUAUUCUGGUCAAAAUCAUUCAACAAGUUUCUAGGAAGUUCCAAAUUUUCCCACAUAUUCCUGUCUUCUUCUUAUCCCUCCAAAUUGUUCCAACCUCUCCUGUUACCCAGUUCCAAAGUCACUUCCACAUUUUCAGGUAUCUUUAAAGCAGUACCCCACUUUUGGUACAAUUUUUCUGUAUCAGUCUGUUCUCAUACUCCUAUAAAGAACUACCUGAAACUGAGUAAUUUAUGAAGAAAAUAGGUUUAAUUGUCUCUGUUCUGUAGGCUUAAUAGAAAGCAUGACAGCAUGACUGGGAGGCCUCAGAAAACUUAUAUUCAUGGUAGAAUGUAAAGGAGAAGCAAGCACAUCUAUCCAUGGCAGAGCAAGAGAGAGAGAGAGUGAAGGGGGAAGUGCCACACACUUUUAAAUCAUUAAAUCUCAUGAGAACUCACUCAUUAUCACAAGAGCAGCAAGGGGGAAAUCCACCCCCAUGAUUCAGUCACCUGUCACCAGGACCCUCCUCCAAUUUGACAUGAGAUUUGCUUGGGGACACAAAUCCAAACGAUGCCAGGGUCUGAGAUUUUAUUCUACCUAACAAGCUAACAAAGUCAGCCAGUUUUAUGAAUGCUCUCAGAAUCUGUGACACUUCUGAUACAGAGGCACAGAACUAUAUUGCUCAUGACAAUAGCUAUAGCCAGAGCAUGAGCAUUGGCAUCAGUUAUCCCACCCCUAGUUCUCAUAUAGCCAUAUGACAUUUGCCAGAUGAUACUUGCACAUAUAGUGGGUUCAUUAUGGGAGAACAAUUGUGAGUUUAGGAGACCUCAGUAUUGUACUAUGACCCAUAAGCAUGUCCGUCUAAUGCUCUUAAGGGAGAACAUAUAUCUUCCAAUGCUUUAAGAAAAGAUACUCUUUGCUCCAAAGGGAAACACUAUAUCUUCAAAGGUUUUUACCACACAUUUUUUGAAAGGUAGAAUGGAACAAAGGCAGUAAUUCCUGUACUCAUAAGAUAGACAGAAACAUGUGAUACCCAUAGGACAUAAUCUCCCAACAAAGAGAAAUACUAUCAAGGAAUGAUCAUCAAGAUUGAAAAAAACAGGAGGGAAGAAAAAUAUGGAAAAUGAAGUGGAAAGAGUCUUCUGAGAGUGAGUUAACAGCAGUAAAUCUUGACAGAAAUUUCAAGUAGAAUGUGAAUUAUAAACAAUCUAUCUAUUUUGCACCCAGAAGUAGAAUUGUUAGAUCAUAGAUUAUUCAUAUGUUGAGCUUUAAAAUAUAUUGCCAAAUGACUUUCCAAAAUGUAUAUAAACAAUUUAUACUCCUACCAGCAUAAAAGACAAUUAGAGAAAAUCUAUACCUUUGCCAACAUUUAUCAUUAUUUUUAUUUCUAGCCAUUCUUUGUUGUUUGUGGUUAUAUGUCACUGUGGCUUUUAUACACAUUUUCAUGAUCACUAAUGGAGUUGAGCACUUUUUGAUAGGUUUAUUGGUCAUUUGAAUAACCACUUUUAAAAGUCUCUAUUUAAAUGGUUUUUGUCCCUUUUUCUAUCGGAUUUUCCUCUGGCAUUUUAAAGAUUUUUAUUAGUUCUGGAAAUAAAUUUUAUAUUGAAUAUAUUUAAUUAUAAUAUAAACUACUACUCUAUACAUUUUAUAUUUUAAGGGCAUGUAAAAGGGAGAGAAACUCUUGAUUUUAAUGUAUUACAUCAAUUGUUCCAUUUUGGUUAACAGUUUAUGUACUGUUUAAGUAAUCUUUGCUGUCUCAAAUGUAUGAAGAAAUACUUCUAUAUUUUUGUUUUAGAAUACUUUUUAUUUUAAAUUUAGUUAUAUGAUCUAGUUGGAAUUUUUCUGUAUGGUGAAAUGUAGGAAAACAUUUUGGUUUUAUCUAUAUGAAUAUUUUUAUAGUUUAUCUUAAUUCAAAGACAUUGCUAUAUUAUUUACAUUUCAAUUUGUCACACAAAUAUUUCUAAUUUCUUAUGUUCAUAUUCAUGUUGUCUACAAAUAAUGAGCUUUAUUUUUUCAUAGUACACUGGAUAAGAUAUCCAGUAUAGGUUUGAAUUGAGAGAAUAAUGGGCAUUUUUAUGUCAUUUUUAAUCAUGAGAGGGGAAAUAGGGAAAUGUCGUAUUUUACUAAUUAAAUUUUAUAUUUGCUGUAGAUUUUAAAUAUAUACCAUUUGUCAGAUAAAAGAAAUUCCUUAUAUUCCUUGCUUACCAUAGUUUUUUUUUUACAUUGAUGAUGGUGAAAUUUUCUCAAAUCCUUAUUCUGCAUUGCAUCUAUGAAGAUGACUUACUACUUUAUUAUCUUAAUGUGAUAAAAGAAGGUAAUUGUUGUUAAAAUGUGGUCUGCCCUGCAUGAGAAAAUAAUACCAACUUGUUAAUGAUGUAUUGUACCUUUAAAAAAUCACUGGAUUCUAUUUGUUAUUUUUUAGAAUUAUUGAAUUUAUGUUUAUGAACGUGAUUACCCCUAAGUUUCCUUUCCUGUUAUUUGUUAUUCACAAAAUUACAGUGACCCCAUUACUCUCUAUAUCCAACCUCUCUCUCUUUCCUUCUCCCCUUUUUUGUUUCUCCAAGAAAGUUGUGUACAAUUAGUGUCACAUUUUAUUAAAAGUUUGGAAAAAUUCAGAAGUGAAUACAUCUGGCACUAAAGAUAUUUUGUGGGGAAACAUUUAUUUGCCAAUUUACUGACUUUAAUAGAUACAGUGCUAUUUAUAUAUUUUUAUUUUAUCUUGUGUCAAUUCUGAUAAUUUGUGUUUUUCUAGGAAUUAUUCAAUUUUAUGCAAAAUUUUAUUUGUACUUUAAAAUUUUUCAUUAUGCUAUUUAAAAAGCUUUAUAAAAUUUGUAAAACAUCUUGUGAUAGCACCUUUUUAUCCCUGGUAUUUCAAAUUUGUGUCUUUAAUUAUUUAUGUAUUUUAAUUUUGCUCAAUUUGGUUAAAUGUCUAUCAAAUGUUAAUCUUUCAAAAAAUCCACUUUUGGCUUUGUUAAUAAACUAACUUCUAUUGUUUAUUUUGUAUUUAAUAAAUACUCUUUUUAUUUUCUAACUUCUACAUUUUUGGUAUACAAUAAGAUGUCCUUUUACUCACUUCUUGAUAUAAAUAUUUGGUUAUUGAUUUUUGACUUACCAUCUUUUCUUAUUUAUAAAUUUUUGAAUAUAUAUUUUCUUCUCUGCACAGACUUGCUGCAUUCCACAAGUUUUGUUAUGCUGUAUGAUCAUUAGUUUACAAAUCAAAAUGUUUUAAUUUUCAUUAUGAUUUCUAAUUUGAUAAAUUGCUUUGAUGUAUUUUGUUAAAUUUCUAAAUAGUUGAACUUUUUUUAUUGCAUUAUUAAUUUUUAGGCUUAAUUCCACUGUAGCCAUAAAAUAUACCUUGAAUGAUUUCAAUGCUUUAAAAUUUCUUUAGAUAUUUUUAAUAGCCUUACAUGUGGUCAGUUUGGGUAGAAGUAUAACGUACAUUUGAAAAUAUCAGUUAUUAAACAGUUAUUUACAACUAUUUCAAUUUGCAAAUUGGGUCACUUUUGUAAAUUCUGUUAAUUGAAUCAUCUGGAGAUGAAAUGUUUUUAUUAUUUUCUUGUUUUAUCAGUUACUGAGUGUGCUGUUUUAAAAUUUCCCACCGUGAUGAUGGAUUUAUCUAUUUUCAUUUUGAUUCUAUAAAAUAUGGCUGUAUAUUUGGAAACUCUGUUAUUUGGGAGAUACAUGUUAAAACUGUUACAUUUUUUCCAGUGGAUUGACCCUCUUGAUUGAAUGGCAAAUUAAAAAAUAAUAGCAAUAUAAGCAAAGAUGUAAAGCAACUGAAACUCUAAUGUAUGAACAGUGGAUGUAUGCAUUUACAUAACCACUUUGGAAAACUGUUCAUCAUUAUCUACCAAAUUAAAAUGCAUGCAUAGCCAAUGACCAUUCUAUUUUAUUUUUAUGUAUAUACCCCAAAAAGAUUUAUGAUUAUACAAACUAACAUAUAUGUUAAAGAACAUUCAUUGCAAAACUAUGCAGCUCAAACUGUAAACAUUCCAAACGUCCAACAGUAAAAUUUAUACAUAAAUUUUGGUAUAUUUAUUUCAUGGAAAAAUAUACAGAAAGUAUAAUAAAUAAUUACAUGUAACAAUAUAAAUGAAUGAAAAGGACAUAAAUGAAUGAAAAGAAUUGUGAUCAAUUCUUUUGAUCACAAUGAUCAAAAGAAGCUAGACACAAAUAAUACAUACUUACAUUUCCAUUGAUAUAAAGCUCAAAAGCUUUUAAAAAAGACAAAACUAUGCUAUAAUUUUAGAAGCCAGUAUACUAGCUACCUUUGUAGAAGAGGGAAGAUAUUUUGGUUCUGAAGAAGGCUGAAGGGCUAUUUUGGAUGUUGGUAGCAACCUAUUUUUUUUAUGUUUAUUACAUAGAUGUGCUUUACUGUGAUAAUUCAUUGAUGUGAUAUUUUUAUGUAUUUUUCUAUGUGUAUGCUAUACUUUAACAAAUUGCUAAAAAUGCAUUUUAAGAAUGCUAGUUAUAUUUCUAGUGCAAUUUAUUUACAGUGAAGAAAAUGUCUGAGAUAUAUGACAUAUGAUCUUCCUCAGAAAAAAAUGUUUUAACAACAAACACCAAUUUCAUUUUGUCUUCUCUUUCCCAUGUGCGUGAUGUAUUCCCUUGCUAAACUUAUUCAAGACUUUCUUGCUGCUAUUGAAAUAAAGACAGAUAUAUUUAACUUGGCCUUUAAAUUCUUGUAUGAUUUUAACCCUGUUUGUCAUUUCAGCCUCAUUUUAUGUUAUCUUCAAUCUUCAUCCAAAGCCCCAUGUGACCUGAGAUUGGACCUGUUGUUGCUCAACAUUGGAUAACUAUAAUUUCCUGUAUAUGGUAGGUAGAGUGUAAUAUAAAGAUUAACUGAAUAAAUAAUUCAACAAACUGACACAGAAAAUAACUAGAAAAAAUAAUAAAUUAUUAAUUAUUUCUAGUUUAUUCUUGCUUUCAGAGAAAGGAAAUAUUGAUAUAAUGAAGAAAUUCAGUUCAUAGCUUGUAUAAACAUUAAUGUUAAGAAACCAAAUUUAAACGAAAAAUAAAAUUUUAAGCCCCCCAGCCAAGCAUCUAAAUGGACCACAUCUUUUGGCCAAGAGCAUUCCAAAAUUAACGAGAAAAACUAGCUCAGACCAUGAUGGGAAAGAACCAAGGAUACCUCAUUAUACCCUCCUCCCUUUUGGAAUUACUAAUAGAAUAAACUCUUUAAGUCUGAUAAGAAACAUUUACAAUCUAUUCUGUCUGAAACCUGCUACCUAGAGGCUUCAUGUGCAUGAUAAAUCCUUGGUCUCCACAACCUGUUUUUUGUAACCUGGACAUUUCUUUCUAUUGACAAUAACUCUUUCAAUCAAUUGUCAAUCAGAAAAUCUUUAAAUCUACCUAUGACCUGGAAGUCCCCAAUUCGAGCCAUCCCACCUUUCUGGACCAAACCAAUGUACAUUUUACAUGUAUUGAUUAAUGCCUUAUGUCUCCCUAAAAUGUAUAAAAUCAAGUUGUACCCUGACCAAUUGGUCACAUAAUCUCAGGAUCUCCUGAGGGCUGUGUCACAGUCCAUUUGUCCCUUAUAUUGGACUCAGAAUAAAUCUCUUCAAAUAUUUUACAGUUUGACUAUUUUUGUACACACAAACAAAAAAUAGGCUAAAUCUUAAUAUAUCUUCUUGUCUAUGCUCAGGCAGUUUAUAUCUAAACACCUUAAAUGAAUAGGUUACUGGUAUUUUAAGAUUUAAAAGAAAAGUACAAGAUUUUUAUUUCAUAUGACACAAAUAAAAUACCAUUUUCACUCAUCUAACAUGUGGAUUGACAGAUUGCAGAUAUCAUCCAUUACCUGAAUAUUACAGAUACUAAAUUUGGAAAAUAAGGGCUCAACCUAGUCAUUUCUCAGAAAAUUUCUUCCCAAUACUGGUGAGUUAUGAAAUCUGUUAUGUUUCAACUCUUAGGGUUAUUAUUUUCUAAUAGUGCAUCUAUGUUCUAGAAAGGCAGUGUUAUGCAAUACAAAAGAAGCAAUCUUUAAUGUAGAAGACUGAUUACGUUUAAGUGACAUAUCUGCCACCAUAAAAUCACAAUCAAGUCACUUAACUUUUCUGUAUACUUUUUCUGUAUUUUUUCUGUAACAUUGUUUGGUAGGAAAAUCAGGGGUCAUUAUAACUCUGCCAACUGCAUAGAAUUAAUUUGAGGGAAUCAACUGUAGUAAUAAAUGUGCUUUGAAAAUUAUAUAUUGGUAUAAAUUUAAAAUAUAACUAAAUAAUAGUCUCAUUAUAAGUAAGAACUACAUAAAACAAAUAAGAUUCAUCUUUGUUGAGGCUUAUAUCCUCUAUUUGCUUAAUAUACAUUAUUUCAUUUAAUACAUGGCAACAGUUUUAAGCAUUAAUUAUUUAACAUUACCAACUUAUAGAUCAAGGAGCAAAUUCAUGUACAGGUUAAAUCAUUUUUCUAGGGUUACAUAGUGGUGUAGCUGGUCUUUCUUGUGCCAUACUUCAUGCUUCAUCAAUAGUAUCAUAGAAAAUCAUGUUGUCUCCCAGAAAGUAUAAUACAGCCCAUUGAAAAAAAUCUCACGUAAUUGUAAACAUUUUUAGUCAUUUUAUCCAAUAUUUUGAGCAACAUCCCAAAUACAAAUCAUUUUACUAUAAUGUGAAUCAGGUAUGCCAUUUCACAAUUUUAAGUAUAGGAAAUUGUUUAUCCUAUAAACCAAAAAGCAACUGAGACAAUUUAGAAGUUUAUUUCACCAAAGUCAAGGACAAUGCCAAGGAGAAAAAAAUAAAAUAAAAU